rnacentral:rRNA from 1 species
GUUAGUCCUAGCAGUAAACGAUGGCUACUAGGUGUGGGGGGUGUUGACCCCUUCCGUGCCGAAGCUAACGCAUUAAGUAGCCCGCCUGGGGAGUACGGUCGCAGGACUAAAACUCAAAGGAAUUGACGGGGCCCCGCACAAGCAGCGGAGCGUGUGGUUUAAUUCGAUGCAACGCGAAGAACCUUACCUGGGCUUGACAUCUAUUCGCAACACCGAGAAAUCGGUGCCUCCGCAAGGACGGAUAGACAGAUGUUGCAUGGCUGUCGUCAGCUCGUGUCGUGAGAUGUUGGGUUAAG